rnacentral:lncRNA from 1 species
UCCAUUUUCAACGGUCGAUAAGUAAUCACGGUAGGUUACCAUUAGAUCUUCUCGAUUGGUAAGUCAUUCUAUCAUCGAGUACGCAUAGAAAAACAUUUCGCGACUGCCAUAUAAGGUAAAUAGGAGGGGUGGGGUGACUCGAGCUACGUCAUACCUCUUUCAGCUGUCGGACGCCGUCGAGACAAGUCUCAACUAGUUUCGCUCCACGUACAUGCAAUCAUUAUCGAUGACGUGAAUGCAUUGAAAUUAGAAGACGUUCACCAUCGUUCCAUGGAAAUUAUACUAAUCAAUGGUGGUAUAUACAACUGCAUACAUACGUGCAAGUGUAUUU